GGAGAGAUGGCCGAGUGGUUUAAGGCAGCGGUCUUGAAAACCGCCGAAGGCUAACCCCUUCCGUGGGUUCGAAUCCCACUCUCUCCG
rnacentral:tRNA from 1 species